AAAUAUUUUAAGAAGAAAUAACUAAUUCGAUUAAGAAAGAAAUUGAGCGAAAAUAAUCAAAGAGGCAACAUAUAUGUAUGUUUAUGUCAAGGUCAUAUGUAAGUCAAAUUGACUUGAAAGUUUUUAGAAAUUUAGUACUGUGAAGGCAAAAAACUAGCGACUAAGAAGAUGAAAUUAAUUUAGAGAAAGAAACCGUUUUAAAGCCGUCUUAGAACGAAAUAAAUCGUUUCGAUCCGCCGUAAGACGUUUGAGCUAAAAAAACAACUUUUCUCAACAUUCAUGAAAAUUUUUUUGGAAAA